rnacentral:ncRNA from 1 species
UAUUUUAGGUUUUUAUAAAUUAAAAGGGAAAGAGGUGAAAAUCCUCUACAGCCCCCGUUACUGUAAUGUGGACGAAACUCAAUAAUACCACUGUGAAUUAUAUUUUCAUGGGAAGGUGAGGAUUAGGAUGAAACUAAGUCAGGAGACCUGCCUAAGAUAUC